CGCGGCGCGCCUCCAUCCUCUCAGCAAUCGCCACCGUCAAGCACCCAGCUCGUGACCGGUGUUUCCACAGCACAGAGACGCGCUUCAGACCUUCGAUGUCGACCAUUUUUACUAUUGUGCUACGAGGCAUGGACCGGUCAGAAGAAACGGUUCUUACUUUGAUCGACCUGAGUCGCUGUUUCGACGCACUGGACCACUCAAUGUUGCUGACGAGGCCGCGGAAGCUCCAAGUAUCUACAGACUGCAUCCAAAGUUACCCGAGGUUACACAUACAGCAUGUGAGGAUGGAUCCGACGCUGUCUGGCCCAAAAUAGUAUCACCAUUGGCACG
rnacentral:lncRNA from 1 species